AGAGUUUGAUCCUGGCUCAGAUUGAACGCUGGCGGCGUGCCUAAUACAUGCAAGUCGAGCGAGUCCCUUCGGGGGCUAGCGGCGGACGGGUGAGUAACACGUAGGCAACCUGCCUCUCAGACUGGGAUAACAUAGGGAAACUUAUGCUAAUACCGGAUAGGUUUUUGGACCGCAUGGUCCGAAAAGAAAAGGCGGCUUCG
rnacentral:rRNA from 1 species